AGAAAACAACAAAACAGCAUGUUUAGCUCUGAUUGAAAAAUUUGAUUAAUUUUUAAAGUAAAUUAAGAUGUUGACCAGUCAAAUUAUCAAGUCAUGGGAUGGAUGAAAGUCACAGAAAGUCACUGGUUGAGCUAGCCUUGUCUUUUAGUCAGAUGUCUAUUCUAAUUGCAUUGGCACAAAUUGUGGCUCACACAAAAUUUCUACACUCAGUGCAAAAUAUAUGUAUAUGUAACGGGGAGAAGUGUGAAUUCGGGACUACACUUCCCAUAAGUCCGUGGGGUAGCGUAAGGUUUACGUCUGUACGUGCUAUAAAUAGACGCGUUCCUGAUCUCAUUCAUUUAUUGAUGCUACAAACAAGUGUGCGCUCAUAUCAGAACCCCGCUUGUAUUACUGGUGUUUGGCUUGGCGACGCAGUCCACAGAAUUGAUGAAUGAUGUGUGAAUUAAUUAUGUUCACAGGUCUCUUAAAGGAGAGCCACCCUUUGGUUUUUAAUUCCUCUUUCUUAGAUCCAGUUAUUUUAAAGUUGUCUUCCGCCCUGAUUCCAUGGCAGCUGCAGGGUCUCCUCCAUGGGUGUGACUGGAACUGGUGAGGUGGUGGGUUCUUCUGUUGUUCCUGGUGACUUGUAUUUUCUCUCGAGUGUUGUGAUUGCUGUGCAGUAUUGGACUUUGAAUUUCAAUUAAUGGUUGUACACUUUCACACUUAGUUGUGCCCGGUUGGAGCCCUGUGGUUUGUUGUUAACGUUUCCUUUUUCUUUUAAAAUGAGGUCGGUAUUAGUGUUUUAGAUAUUCAUUCUUUUAUGUUAAGAUUGGUCUUUGUGAAUUGUAAUAAAUCUGCUUGUACAAGCGCUAAAGCUUUCGCCACAGUUUCUGGCCAGUUAUUAACCCUCCCUGAUUCGGUGGGAUAUAUAUAUAUAUAUAUAUAAUUAAAAACACAUCAGCAAAUGAGAUCUGGAUUGUUUUCAUGAUCCUCACCUUCCACCAUCCUCUACUCUACUCUCUGUAUUGUCCAUUUUAGAUCAAAUGUUAUUCACCAGUGUUUCUGGUUCCCUUUUUUUACAGUCCUCGGCCGUAGACUUAUUUCCCAAGAAUUGUUUGCCAUUUAAAAUGUCCUCUGUAUAAUUUCUUAAUGUAAAACACCUCAUUAGCUCUGUUCCUGACAGCAGCUAUUACAUUCUCAAGGGCAGUUUGGAUGCAAAGUAUCACUCUUUCUUUGAAAACCAGAAUAUCAUGCUGUUUUAAACUCCCAGCUAAUGCAGAGGCAAAGCAUUUCAGAGCCAGCGUAAUGAGAACUGGGGUCAGUGGGCAGCCCUGAUCCAGCAGUUUGUCUCUCUCGAUUGAAACCUCUGCAGAUUCAGUAUCUACUUCUGGUGCAUCUCUGAGAAGGUUUUUCACAAUGAAGAAAUUCUGAUAUGGAGUCGGGUUUGACCGCUUAUGCUUUUCUAUCUCAUCCUGAAUAGGAGACAACCUCGUCUCAGUGCAGAAUGUUUUGGGAGUGAUCAUGACAGCAGCUGAAUUUUUUGGUGCCUCGGCAUUUUGACUGAGACUCCAAAAAAUCAUCCAGACGUUUUGCCAGAAUAGUUGU